rnacentral:sRNA from 1 species
ACACAGGGAAGGAGGUGGUCCGACAAAUUGAUUGACUUAUGGACAUGUGAGGUGGCUGCGAGCUAGCAGCGCCGGGGGAGCGCUUGUCGCACACCUGCGCGCGCUGGCGAAUUCCCCGCAGUCACCCGGCCCCCGAGCCCCUCGGUUGAGUCCGACCAGGAACAACGGCUCGGGGGCCGCUCCAU